AGCUUUGCGCAGUGGCAGUAUCGUAGCCAAUGAGGUUUAUCCGAGGCGCGAUUAUUGCUAAUUGUAAAACCUCCAUCAAAUGGCCUCAAAUUCCAGUAUACCCCCCUUUCUGCCAUUCCAGUUCUCACUUCUGACUCAAAAAUUUGA